rnacentral:sRNA from 1 species
UCUGAAUUCGCGGACGCUUUAUAAUAUAUAUAAUUCAGCGAUAAAUUUAGUGGCUUUUAUUGGGUUCUAAGAUAACAAAAACGAAAAAGCUAGUGAAUGCGAUAAAAUUGAAGUGAAUUUCCAACAACAGAAAAAAUUAAGGUGGAGCAAAUGCCAAUUGCAAAAUCUAAAGUCCUUGAAUGCUUUUAAAAAUGCCUUUUCCAACUCUAUUGCAAUAAAAAAAGAGAAUGAAUAAAUUGAAAGUUAUUAAAUUUGAUGGAGAAAAAUGAAACAAGUUUUUGUUUAAGUGCAAAGUAAUUGUAAAAUUGUUACACGGCCAUUUACAAUUGUGAAAAUCCGAAUUCUAUAAAGUGACGUUAUACUUGGAGUUACCAGAUUAACUGCGUGUUGUACAGGAAGAAUAGCGGGCAAAA